UUUUUUUUUGUGCAGCUGCAUAGGAACAAAAAAGCAAUCUUAGCAUUGUGCCCAUGCAGCUCCAUAAAAAGAAUUCCUGUUCUUUGGCUCAGCCACCAGUGGUGCAUUUCAUUGCAGCAUCAGGACUGGAGUGAAAGCUGAGGGAAGGUUCCCACUGCUGGGACAAGGCAUUGAUGGAGCUCAUCUAGGAAAAUUCACAUCAUCCUGCCCUACCAAGGGAGAGAACUCCACACUUUGCUCCCUCGUUUUUGUCCGAUGCUUCAUCCUGGCAGCUUAUUUCCUGCUUUUUGCCCUUUGGGCAGGGCCAUCACAGAACUUUUUAAGAUCCCUCUAGUAGAAAGAUCCCAAAUUUAGUGACUGACUGAGUAGUUUUCACUUUGAGGGUUUUUUAUUACUACCUGAUAUAAAAGUCCAACAGUAUUCAUGCUUUGAAAUCACUCUCCAAAGGAAUGGAAAAGGCAGCUCGUGCUGGAUUUCCUUAAAGAAAUUUUCUUGCAGUGGCAAGGCUUAAAUUUUCCCAAAAAAAGAGCUUUUGUGCCACCUAGUGGAGUCACAGUUUGUGACAUAAUUAACAUUUCAUUACCAAACCACCAAGUUCAAAUGCUGUCCAAGGUGUUUUCUCAUCACACGUUUGUGUUUCAGUGCCCAGGCCAGGAAUACCAUCCAGAUGGGACCACAGAAGAAGCUUUUAUUGAGUGUUCUGGAGGACUCUGCAAGCAGAAGAUGCUGCCCUGCUCUCUGCAGAGCCUGCCCAAGGGAAGGGUAGAUAAACCAGUCCAAAUCCUACUUGCAUUCUAGCUUGAGCCCUCUCAAGCAUGCACUGCUGGGACUAUUUAAAGUUAUGCUGUGGAAAAUGACUGAAAAUGAAUAAAUGCUGUAUUUCAUUGCA